CGCGGCAGUGUUGGGCGGCUUGGGCCAACAUGGAGGGGUCAAGUACGCAGAGUGAUUUACCCAUUUUCCCUGUCAAGAUAGUAAGACACAACAUCCGCACUGGAAGAUGAACAUGACCAAUUUCAAUGGAACUCUAUUAUUUUACCAUGGAUUGAACUAUACCAUUUUUGUGGUGCGACCGGAUAAUGAUUUUGCAUGCUUAAUUCAAUGACAUGUGAUCAACAACUCACAAACUGACAAAUCAGGCGCUGGGGAUUCUUACGCCAUGUCACAUGGAAUAUUGCAUGUAUUGUUCAUUGAUAAAAAAAACUGAGGAAUAAGCACUUUCAUGGUACAUGUAAUAUGCGCCAUCUUGUUCACAUAGCAAAAAGAACAAGCAUUGCUAGAUGCGAACACAUUUUGAAAAGGACACAUUUUGGAAUGAAUGCUUGAUGACUUGGAAGCGCAAAAGGUUUUGUUUGAUGACGUGUAGACUGCAACGCAUGUACAUUUGCCCGGUA